CUUGAAAAACCACCGUUGUAAUUCAACUACAACAACA
rnacentral:tRNA from 1 species